GAUGAAGAACGUAGCGAAAUGCGAUAAGUAAUGUGAAUUGCAGAAUUCAGUGAAUCAUCGAAUCUUUGAACGCACAUUGCGCCCCUUGGUAUUCCGAGGGGCAUGCCUGUUCGAGCGUCAUUACACCACUCAAGCACUGCUUGGUAUUGGGCACUCGUCCGUCGAAAGACGGGCGUGCCUCGAAGACCUCGGCGGGGUUUCUCCAACUUCGGGCGUAGUAGAGUUAAAUCAAAACGUCUUAUAAGCUUGGUGAGAUAUCAUUGCCGUUAAACCUUUUUUUUUCAGGUUGACCUCGGAUCAGGUAGGGAUACCCGCUGAACUUAAGCAUAUCAAUAAGCGGAGGA
rnacentral:misc_RNA from 1 species